AUGGAAGCCGGGGGUGCCUGAAGUGCGUGACCGCAAGGAGCGCCCUAGGGUAAAACCGGUGACUGGGGCUAAGUCGUAACAAGGUAGCCGUACCGGAAGGUGCGGCUGGAACACCUCCUUUCUGGAGCGCAU
rnacentral:rRNA from 1 species